rnacentral:rRNA from 1 species
GUUUGAUCCUGGCUCAGGGCGAACGCUGGCGGCAGGCUUAACACAUGCAAGUCGAGCGGGCCCUUCGGGGUCAGCGGCAGACGGGUGAGUAACGCGUGGGAACGUGCCCUUUGGUUUGGAAUAACUCAGGGAAACUUGAGCUAAUACCGGAUACGCCCUUUUGGGGAAAGGCUUGCUGCCGAAGGAUCGGUCCGCGUCUGAUUAGCUAGUUGGUGAGGUUAUGGCUCACCAAGGCGACGAUCAGUAGCUGGUCUGAGAGGAUGAUCAGCCACACUGGGACUGAGACACGGCCCAGACUCCUACGGGAGGCAGCAGUGGGGAAUAUUGCACAAUGGGCGCAAGCCUGAUGCAGCCAUGCCGCGUGUGUGAAGAAGGCUCUAGGGUUGUAAAGCACUUUCAGCGAGGAGGAAAGGUUGUAAGUUAAUACCUUGCGGCUGUGACGUUACUCGCAGAAGAAGCACCGGCUAACUCCGUGCCAGCAGCCGCGGUAAU